GAUGAAGAACGCAGCGAAAUGCGAUAAGUAGUGUGAAUUGCAGAAUUCCGUGAAUCAUCGAAUCUUUGAACGCACAUUGCGCCCCCUGGCAUUCCGGGGGGCAUGCCUGUCCGAGCGUCAUUUCUGCCCUCAAGCCCGGCUUGUGUGUUGGGCGUGGUCCCCCCGGUUUAGGGGGGACCUGCCCGAAAGGCAGCGGCGACGUUCCGCCUAGGUCCUCGAGCGUAUGGGGCUUUGUCACCCGCUCGGGAGGGGCCUACGGGCGUUGGCCAUCCACCAUUUUUUUUUACGGUUGACCUCGGAUCAGGUAGGAGUUACCCGCUGAACUUAAGCAUAUCAAUAAGCGGAGGA
rnacentral:misc_RNA from 1 species